GCCUACGGGGGGCAGCAGUGGGGAAUAUUGCACAAUGGGGGAAACCCUGAUGCAGCAACGCCGCGUGGGUGAAGAAGUAUUUCGGUAUGUAAAGCCCUAUCAGCAGGGAAGAGAAUGACGGUACCUGACUAAGAAGCCCCGGCUAACUACGUGCCAGCAGCCGCGGUAAUACGUAGGGGGCAAGCGUUAUCCGGAUUUACUGGGUGUAAAGGGAGCGUAGACGGCUGUGCAAGUCUGAAGUGAAAUGCCGGGGCCCAACCCCGGAACUGCUUUGGAAACUGUACAGCUAGAGUGCAGGAGGGGGG
rnacentral:rRNA from 1 species